AGGAAGAAAGCUCAAGUCGUUCCGGAUCGCAAACAAACAACGACAAAAGUAAAGCUACUUGAUGGAUGGCACUACUUGGUCCGAACACACUUAUGAUGCACGUUUCCGCGAAGAUCUUAGUUACGGGUCAAACUUUUGUUAAAUGAUGUCUUUUAUUAAAAACGGGUCUUUGGUAAGUAAUUAACCCAGUAAUUGUAGAAUGUUAAACUAGUAGUUAAAGACUAUGUAGUUGGUUAUGAACUUUUGGGUUGUGGAAAUCUUUUGUAAUCACUUCGUUAGCUUUAAUGAUGUAAAUACAAAAAUUUUACUUA